CAGCCGCCGCGGGAAUACGUAGGGACCAAGCGUUGUCCGGAAUCAUUGGGCGUAAAGCGCGCGUAGGUGGCCAUUUAAGUCCGCUGUGAAAGUCAAGGGCUCAACCUUUGAAAGCCGGUGGAUACUGGAUGGCUAGAGUACGGAAGAGGCGAGUGGAAUUCCUGGUGUAGCGGUGGAAUGCGCAGAUAUCAGGAGGAACACCAAUAGCGAAGGCAGCUCGCUGGGACGUUACUGACACUGAGGCGCGAAAGCGUGGGGAGCGAACAGGAUUAGAUACCCCUGUAGUCCCUGUCUCUUAUAC
rnacentral:rRNA from 1 species